rnacentral:rRNA from 1 species
GACGAACGCUGGCGGCGUGCUUAACACAUGCAAGUCGAACGGAAAGGCCCUGCUUUUGUGGGGUGCUCGAGUGGCGAACGGGUGAGUAACACGUGAGUAACCUGCCCUUGACUUUGGGAUAACUUCAGGAAACUGGGGCUAAUACCGGAUAGGAGCUCCUGCUGCAUGGUGGGGGUUGGAAAGUUUCGGCGGUUGGGAAUGGACUCGCGGCUUAUCAGCUUGUUGGUGGGGUAGUGUCUUACCAAGGCUUUGACGGGUAGCCGGCCUGAGCGGGUGACUGGCCACACUGGGACUGAGAUACGGCCCAGACCCCUACGGUAGGCAGCAGUGGGGAAGAGUGUACAAUGGGCGGAAGCAUGAUGCAGCAACGCCGCGUGCGGGAUGACGGCCUUCGGGUUGUAAACCGCUUUCGCCUGUGACGAAGCGUGAGUGACGGUAAUGGGUAAAGAAGCACCGGCUAACUACGUG